ensembl:lncRNA
CUUUUUGCUCUCUCAGCACAAACCAAAAGGGAUUUCACAGCACCUUCGCGAGCACCCCCGAUUCCAUUCUCGACUUGGCCUGGUCCGGUUCAAAUCCCGAGCACGUGUACCGGAUCCGGCGCCUUCGAAAAAAAUCUCACGCGGGAAAGGAUCGUCUUACUUUCCCGAUGACGACGCGGAGCGAAGUGACAACGCGGCUUCACGUGUCCGAAAGGUGCUGAAUGCGCACUCGUCGGUUGAAAGGCUUCAAAACUCACAUCGGUUCAUCCCCCCAUCCAUUCUUCAGACGAAAGUGAAGAGAGCCAUGAAAUGGAAAUGGCCACAUUGCACGCCUGGUUGCCUUGGUGAAUUACUGAUAGCGUCAGACAAAGUUUAGUCAGGAUCUCUAAAGAGGAUUUCACGCACAAAAGAACUACAGAGAUGCAUCGGAG